UACAGAGGGGGCAAGCGUUGUUCGGAAUUACUGGGCGUAAAGGGCGCGUAGGCGGCCUGCUAAGUCGAACGUGAAAUCCCUGGGCUCAACCCAGGAACUGCGUCCGAUACUGGUUGGCUUGAAUCCGGGAGAGGGAUGUGGAAUUCCAGGUGUAGCGGUGAAAUGCGUAGAUAUCGUAAGGAAGACCAGUGGCGAAGGCGGGUCUCUGGACAGUUCCUGACGCUGAGGCACGAAGGUCAGGGGAGCAAACGGG
rnacentral:rRNA from 1 species